CAGCCGCCGCGGUAAUACGAAGGGUGCAAGCGUUAAUCGGAAUUACUGGGCGUAAAGCGUGCGUAGGCGGUGAGUUAAGUCUGCUGUGAAAUCCCCGGGCUCAACCUGGGAAUGGCAGUGGAUACUGGCUCGCUAGAGUGUGUCAGAGGAUGGUGGAAUUCCCGGUGUAGCAGUGAAAUGCGUAGAGAUCGGGAGGAACAUCAGUGGCGAAGGCGGCCAUCUGGGACAACACUGACGCUGAGGCACGAAAGCGUGGGGAGCAAACAGGAUUAGAGACCCGUGUAGUCCCUGUCUCUUAUAC
rnacentral:rRNA from 1 species